rnacentral:lncRNA from 10 species
CCAUCUCUACUAAAAGUAUAAAAAUUAGUCAGGCAUAGUGGUUUGUGCCUGUAGCCUCAGCUACUCAGGAGGCUGAGGCAGGAGAAUCUCUUGAACCUGGGAGGCGGAGGUUGCCGUGAGGUGAGAUCGCACCACUGCACUGCAGCUUGGGCAACAGAGUAAGACUCCAUCUCAAAUAAAUAAAUAAGUAAAAAUAAAAAUGCUCAUCUGUGUAUCACUUAAAACUAUGUCUCUGAAACACAGCUCUAAUGCAUAAAGUUAUCUGAAGCCAGGGAUUCCUGCCUUAUCAUUCGGUUAACAGUAGCCAGAGCUGAGUGAGAAAUUUACGCCGUGUCAGUCACCAGAGGAAGUCCUCCCCGAAGCUCUAGAAAUAAGGUAUUUGCAUUGGCCCCAUUUUAGAGAUAAGGAAGCAGACUUAGGUAAAGGUCAUCUCACUAGUAAGUGGAAGUCAGAUUCAAGCCCGAGCUGUCUGAGUUCAGAGUCCACACAAUCAUCACUUUCUCCCACUUCUUGGGAAAAAACACAGGUGUUGAUACCACGGCUUGCCAAGGAAAAAGCAAGCAACCGUCCUGUUGAAGAAUGAAUUCAUUCAGUACUAAAUGCUAAAUUACAAUGUUGAAGACAGCUGGUAUGCUGUGGGCCUUUCUCUGUCCCUGAAAAUCCCAGCGGUCUGCAAAUCAAGAGAGAAAGUAGGCAGAAAAUUGAGCCAGAAGGACUCAUAUAUUGGAGACUCCAUGAGGAUGGAGAAAAUGCAGCAACUUGCCCGAAGUCCCAAAUCUGCUCUCUGUCUUCAAGAACUGAACAAGGAUUCAAUAUGGAUUAGUGAUUAAGAGCUUGGGCUAUGGAUUCAGAACAACCUGGGUUCAAGUCCUGGAUCUGCUCCUUACAAGCUGUGUGAGUUGAAACAUCAAUUUAAAAAUUGAGUGCCAGAGAGGCCCCAGCAUCGGACAGGGAGAGGCAGGGGCAGCAGAAGAUUGAUGUAACCAGGCAUCCUGCUGUAAAUAACAAAACCCAACUCAGGCUGGCUUCAACAGUGGAAGAUCCUCAGGAAAACCUGUGUGUCAACUACAGCAGCCAGGCAUUAUAUUCCAUGUUUUACAAAUGAAGCGAAGAGGCUCGGAGAGGUGUUAUUCAUUGUCACAUUUGUGUGUGCUUUAAAAGUCAGCAAACUUUCAGUGCCCCUGGAGGCCAUAGGUAGAACCUCCACACCUCUUCUGGGAAUCCUUCCAUUUUUAGUAUGAAGAAAUAGGAACAACAGAGCUGCCUUCCAGAGCCAAGUUGGCAACUAAACCCACCUGCUUCCUGCCUUCCCAAGGCCCAGCUGACAUCAGUGGGAGCCUCACCUAUAUGAGGAGGGACUAGUAUUUGCCUUGGCCUGGCUGCUGCUGUUAUCUGAAAGGCAGCAGGGGCCCCAGGCCAUGCCAUCUCUUGCAGGGAUCCUGGCAGAGCACACAAGUCAAACAGGAUCAGGGUGGGGCAUAACUUGGCCCAGAGAACCCACUGACACCAGCUCAUGAAAGGUGGGAGCAGGGAGUGCCCCAGAUGAAUCAAUGGGUGGCAUGUUUCCCUCUGAGCAGCUGCCAAAAAUGCCUCUCAGGCAUCUGGUUAAGAGGCAGUGAGUACAUGGGGUGGCUGGGAGGCCAACCUCUUUAGGGCCACAAUGAUUUAUCUCAUGUCUCUGUGUACAUAUGUUUCCCUCUACUUGGAGUGUCUUACUCUACUUACCUGCUGGGCAAAACCCUAUUCCUAGCUCAUCUUUCAAGUCCUAGUUCAAGUCUAUGGGGAACCUUCCUGGGAUCUAAUAGGUAGAUUUAGGUGUUUUGUUCCCUAUACAAACUGUACUUAUAUAUUUACUCCACCCACUUUAUGCUGAUAUACUCCAUCUUACAUACUUAUAUACUCCAUCCUCUGUACCACAUUACAAUUGUUUAUUGGUAUAUGGGCAAGACAUGCCAUCAUGCCUGAUGCCUACCAAAAGAUUUUCCUCCAGCUCUGCCCACAGACCCUGUCAAACUGGUGAGGCUGGGAGAGAGUGCAUUUCUACCACAUGAUCCUGCUACCCAACCAUAGCCAAGGAGAGCCAAUCUCCAUAUGGUUGGUGACCUUUGAUGUGGACUAGGUCAGAUCAGAUUCUCACUGUCAGUGAUUUGAAUUGGGAAAGACUUUAGCAAUGAGCAGCAGCAACGGAAGCUGAAAGGUCAUGAAAUACAGAAAGAUCUGAUGUAGCAGAUGCUGUGAUGUGCUGCCCGGAUUCCUCUUCAGGAAUGAUAGAUUUCUUCUCUGUGCCACUGGGAGUGCUGCCAACAGACAGCCCUCAGUUGCCAGCUGUCUUCAGGAAGCAUCUCUUUUAAAGAAAGUCACCCCACCCAAGAUCAUGCACCCUUCCCAGGGAAGCCCAUAUCCAAUGACUGGCUGAAAUUCUCAGUGCUAUCUCAGCUUCAGAGUGACGUGUGUGGUCGGCUGAAUCCUUCAUCAAGACUAGGGGCACCACACAUCCCUGUGUGACUGGGAUAGAGUUGUCCUUUAAGGCGUAAUGACCUUUUAAGCUCAGUCCAUGAAGUUCAUGAAGACUCUCCUGUAAUGGCAGCUGGCCUUAAAUUCUUAGGCUUUUCCACUGUCCAUAUGGUUCUCUGUGUUCC